rnacentral:lncRNA from 10 species
UUUUUUUUUUUGAGAUGAACUCUCGAUCUUAUCCCCCAGGCUGGAGUGUGAUGGCGUGAUGGUGCGAUCUUGGCUCACUGCAACUUCCGCCUCCCGGUUUCAAGCAAUUCUCCUGCCUCGGCCCCCCAAGUAGCUGGGAUUACAGGCAGGAGAACCGCUUGAACCUGGGAGGUAGAGAUUGUAGCGAGCUGAGGUCACAUCAGUGCACUCCAGCCUUGGCGACAGAGGGAGACUCUGUCUCAACAACAAUAACACAAAAAACAAAAAAAAAAUAAAAAUAUAUUUCCAGUUUCUUCUGUAGUUGUUGGUCUUUUCAAUGAAGGCAACUAAAACCUUUUUAAUUAUUUAGUUUAUUUUUAAUGCUGUAAUGAAUUUGUAUUUUCCUAAAAUACUUUACAUAACAGUACCUUUUUUUAUUCAUAAUACCACGUGAUUUUUUUUUCUCUUGAUUAGCCUUGUC